rnacentral:rRNA from 1 species
UACGUAGGGUGCGAGCGUUAAUCGGAAUUACUGGGCGUAAAGCGUGCGCAGGCGGUUAUGUAAGACAGUUGUGAAAUCCCCGGGCUCAACCUGGGAACUGCAUCUGAGACUGCAUUGCUGGAGUGCGGCAGAGGGGGAUGGAAUUCCGCGUGUAGCAGUGAAAUGCGUAGAUAUGCGGAGGAACACCGAUGGCGAAGGCAAUCCCCUGGGCCUGCACUGACGCUCAUGCACGAAAGCGUGGGGAGCAAACAGG